UACGUAGGGUGCGAGCGUUGUCCGGAAUUAUUGGGCGUAAAGAGCUCGUAGGCGGUGUGUCACGUCGGCCGUGAAAACCUGCAGCUUAACUGUGGGCGUGCGGUCGAUACGGGCAUCACUGGAGUUCGGCAGGGGAGACUGGAAUUCCUGGUGUAGCGGUGAAAUGCGCAGAUAUCAGGAGGAACACCGGUGGCGAAGGCGGGUCUCUGGGCCGAUACUGACGCUGAGGAGCGAAAGCGUGGGGAGCAAACA
rnacentral:rRNA from 1 species